rnacentral:rRNA from 1 species
GAUGAACGCUGGCGGCGUGCCUAAUACAUGCAAGUCGAGCGCACGGACGAGACGCUUGCUUCUUUGAUGUUAGCGGCGGACGGGCGAGUAACACGUGGAUAACCUACCUAUAAGACUGGGAUCACUUCGGGAAACCGGGGCUAGUACCGUAAGAUCUUAUGAUCUUAAUGGUUCAAAGAUGAAAGACGGUAUUGCUGUCACUCAUCGCUGGAUCCGCGAUUCAUUAGCUAGUUGGUAAGGUAACGGCUUACCAAGGCAACGAUGCAUAGCCGACCUGAGAGGGUGAUCGGCCACACUGGAACUGAGACACGGUCCAGACUCCUACGGGAGGCAGCAGUAGGGAAUCUUCCGCAAUGGGCGAAAGCCUGACGGAGCAACGCCGCGUGAGUGAUGAAGGUCUUCGGAUCGUAAAACUCUGUUACUAGGGAAGAACAUAUGUGUAAGUAACUGUGCACAUCUUGACGGUACCUAAUCAGAAAGCCACGGCUAACUACGUG